rnacentral:rRNA from 1 species
UACGUAGGGGGCAAGCGUUGUCCGGAAUCAUUGGGCGUAAAGCGCGUGUAGGCGGCCCGGUAAGUCCGCUGUGAAAGUCGGGGGCUCAACCCUCGGAUGCCGGUGGAUACUGUCGGGCUAGAGUGCGGGAGAGGCGAGUGGAGUUCCUGGUGUAGCGGUGAAAUGCGCAGAUAUCGGGAGGAACACCAAUGGCGAAAGCAGGUAACUGGACUAUUACUGACACUCAACUGCGAAAGCUAGGGGAGCAAACAGG